ensembl:lncRNA
UUUUCUGCUGGUGUUUUAUGAUAAUGCCUAAAACAAGCGCACGUGGGUAUUUUUAUUUUACCGACUGACUCAGCUAAAGAGCUGCUGGACAAGUGGAAAUUUAAUCGGCUUUGAUCAAAGACUACUAUUUCUGUGCUAAUUCAUGUUGUUUUCAUGUGCUAAAAACUUGUUUUAGAGAGGCAUGACUGGCUCCUAUUUGGACUUGUUUUAAUCUGUCUUAUUCUUUAUCAUUUUACAGGAAAUGUUGGCUAAAGUGGAGAUUGGAGGGGUCCUAAAAUACGUGAAAAUUCCAGAGACUGAUGGAUUUUUUCAAUUUGAUAUGUUCCUUCAAGAAGUGAACGACAAGUUUAGUCUGCAGCCAGACAGCUUCAGUGAGGGCCAGUUCACCAUCACAGAUAUGUCAGGAACAGAGGUGGAUGGAGAUAUCUUUGAUGAGCUUGUCAAGUCGGGUGUCCUGACCUUCAAGGUCCCUUUACCAGUAAUGGAUCUGGAUGUUGAGCUGGUUGCAGAUCAAGCAUCCUCCUCUGUAUUGACAUCGCUGUCCCCAACUUCAUCCCAUUCAUCCUUGGUAGUGGCACAGACUGCACUAUCCCCAGCUUUAUCCCAUUCAUCUGAUUCCACCGUUAUUCUGGAGUCCACAAGAAAAAGGAGGAACCCAACAGGGUUAAUGGACCAGAAUGAAGCAAAACAGAUGGUUGAGGGUGUUCUGAGAGCCAAUCCAAAGGGUGAAGAAGUCUUCAAUGAGUAUGACAAGACUAAAACACUAACUGAUGCGACCCGUAAACAAAUGGUGAACAUCCUGGUUGCAGAUAUGGUAGAGCUACAUGGGAGGGUUCCACCGUCAAGUGUAAGGACCAAUUAUGCACUGGGAAUUGUGACUCUUUUUCCAUACCUCCGUGAUCCAUUCUCCAAACUUGGAUAUGAACACUACUAUGAUCCUGAGGGUAAUACCGGCUUCAUUUCAUGGAGGAUCAAGACGGUUCAACGCAACACCUUUGCUGGCUUGCGGGGUCGUUCCAAGACCGUUCUUCAGGAUGGUCCAAAAACCAGGCGAGAAUCUCUGUCAACCUGCCAACAGCUAUUUGGUGAGGAGUGCAGGGAGGCGAUAUCUACAAUAAGACAUUCCAGCGAUGAAUCUGUGGUCAAAGAGAAGAUGAGAGCGACUUUCCAGUAUCGACAGAAGAUGGUUGGGGAUGAUGCAUCAUCUUCAGUCCUGGAUGUGUUCCCUCGUUUUCUUGAUGUACCUGGAUUGAUCGACCAGGAUUUCUCAAUGAUGUUUGGUGACGAAGUGUCUCAGAAGUUCCUGUCCAAGUGGUCAACUUUCUUCAAGCCAAACAUCAUCACAGACUGCAAGACUGCAACGAAUAUGGAUGAGUUGCUGUCGGCAACUGAAUUUGAGUCUGAAGAGAACAAUGGAUGGGACAGUGAUAUGUCUUCAAUCCUUUUGCUGCUGCAGCUACUCCCUCCAACUUCAAGGGGCCAGAAAAAAACUGCCAAGAUCAGUUCAGCUCAAGCAACCAGCCAUCUUGUUAGAUAUCUUAAGGAAGGAGCCAGUAUUACUACCUUCCUUGAGAGUGUCGACGCAAGACAACCGUUCCUCCUUUGCAUCGGUGAGCAAAAGAAGAAUAUCCAAAGGUUCUACCUUAUUAUCGACCGAAAACCAAUCCCGUGCAAGGCACACACAUCAGUAGCAGCUUUUGAUGAACUGUUCAAAGCUCACUACGUCUUCAGUCUCUCAUAUGACGAAGCUCUUUGUAAUUUUUACACAUUCAUCCAAACCACUAUAUACAACAUCGAUGUCGGAAGAGCAAAGGAGAGCCCGCGUGUUAAAGAACUCCGAGCACGACUGCUGCAGCGAAGUGCUGUAACCGAUAAACAGCCUUGAAGAUGUUCACGUGUUUUGUCUGUAAAACACACCACAAAACGUGUGUGGUUCUUUGCCAACAUUUAAAAUUCCAACAUGGUUUAUAUCCUGGCAAAAAGUUGCGUUUAAAAUGUGGAGAGCUCCAUUGCCCAUUAUCAUUUUGUACUUAUAGUGGCUUCCGAAAGCACCUCACCAAGGUGCAUAGUCAGGUUGAUCAAGAGAUUGAUAUUGUUCAUGAUGUUUCUACUCAGCGAGAAUGUGAGGCGGAAUGUUCAAGUGAUUCCCCAAAUGUUGUUGCCACUUUGCAAAAGUCAGAAAGCUCUGUUGAUACAAGUCAACUAUCGUCAAUGUGUGGAUCAAUUGUUGCGCAUUUGCAAGCAUCAGGUCUCUCUGAAAGUGCUGUCCAAACGAUUGUUUGUUCAAUGGAAGAAGUUGUCAAUGAUGUUAAAAGUGAGGCAAAAAAUGCUGUUCUUAAAACAAUGUCUUCUGAAAAUACAAGUUCAGACACUCCAGGAUCCAGAAUAGAUAAUUGUUUUGAUCAAUUAGGUAAUCCUUUUACAGCAUUAAACACAGAGUCAAAAAGGCGUAAAUAUUAUAAUGAAAAAUGGGAAAUAGUUGAACCUAAAGAAUGUGUCCUUGGUGUGAGGCUGGAUUUGCGCAGAGAUAGAAUAACAGGGGUAUACAAUGAGAUUCCUGUAACGGACAAGUGUACGUAUGUACCCAUUCUGAGUACACUUAAAUCCAUAUUCAAAAAUGACCAAGUAAGAGAAAGCUUUCUACGGGACAAACAGAGUGAAAAUGGCAUUUACAAAGACAUCAAUGAUGGGUCAUAUUGCCAAAACCAUGCCCUGUUCUCACAGCAAAAACAUGCACUACAGAUUCUACUAUAUUACGAUGACUUUGAAACGGCUAACCCUCUCGGUUCCAAAAAGGGGAUCCACAAACUAGGUUGUGUCUACUUUACUUUAAAAAAUCUUCCACCCAAGUGUAACUCAGUACUGAUGAAUGUACAUCUGGCAGCUCUGUUUCAUUCUGAAGAUCUGAAAAAAUAUGGUUUUGAUGUGAUACUAAAGCCUCUUAUUGAUGAUCUGAAAUUUUUAGAAACCAAAGGCUUAAAGCUUCCUUCUUUUGAACAACCAUUGUUUGGCUCAGUUAUUCAAGUAACGGGAGAUAAUUUGGCUUUAAAUGGCUUGUUGGGGUUUGUGGAAUCAUUCAGUGCAACCCAUUUCUGUAGAUUUUGUUUAAUCAGUAAGCAAGAAAUUCAAUCUAUAUUUACUGAAGAUCAUCCUGGGUUAAUUAUCCGUUCCAAAGAGCUUUAUACUGAACAUUGUAAGGCACUAAAUGAAAAUCCUGAACUGCGGUCAAUAUAUGGUGUUAAAAAGUCAUGUGUGCUCAACUCCUUACAGUAUUUCCAUUGCACUGACAACUAUGCUGUUGACAUAAUGCACGAUCUGCUGGAGGGUGUAGUACAGUACGAACUAAAGCUGAAUUUUGAGUACCUUGUUAAACAGGGCUAUAUCUCUUUGAACACAUUGUCAAACAGGAUACAGAGCUUUAAUUAUGGUUACACGGAGCGUAGAAACAAACCAAGUGGGAUAAAAAUGGAUGAUAAGAGCAAAGAUCUAGGUUUGAAUGCCAUCCAGUCAUGGUGUCUCCUGCGUAACGCUCCACUAAUGUUUGGUGAUGUCAUUGAAAAGAAUAACAGUUACUGGAACUUUCUGCUGCUUUUGAUCCAGAUUGUCAAUAUAGUGUUUUCCUACACCAUAACUGAUGGAAUGAUAUGCUACUUGAAACAUCUGAUCUGUGAUCACCAUACUCUGUUCAAAGCAUUGUUUCCUGACAAGAGGUUGAUUCCCAAGCACCACUUGAUGGUACACUAUCCUAGAUGCAUACAAAAAAUUGGCCCUCUUAUCCAUAUGUGGUGCAUGCGAUUUGAAGCUAAACACAAUUUUUUCAAAAGAUGUGGCAAAAAUUUUAAGAAUCUCACUAAAUCAUUAGUGAAACAACAUCAGCGUCAAUUGGCAUUUAACUAUGAAAAUUAUUGCUUUAGAAGGUUUGAAUUUGGUCCUACAUCAUCCAAAAACAUCUGCAACUUGCAAGGUGGGAAAGAAAUUAGUGAGACAUUACAUUUGGAUGCCUGUUCAAAUGUUACAAGUACAAGGUGGGUCAGAUAUUACGGUACUGAGUACCAGGUUGGGUUGUACUUAUGCACUGGAUGUACCGAUGAUCUUCCUGUGUUCAAAAAGAUCUGUGAUAUUAUAAUACAUGAACAGCAUGCUUUCAUAAUAUCCUGUAAUGUACAAACAAUGUACUAUGAUGACCACUUUAGUGCAUACUGUAUAGAAGACCAAAUGAAUGUGUUUUCUGUCAUAUCUGUGAAGGCACUGACUUAUUUUAGACCAUUUGACAAGCAAUGCUCUAAUGACAAUAGUCAAAGAGCAUACAUAGUGCCUUAUUGUUACAUUUAGAUAAAUGUACAGCAAUGAAAAAAGAUUUGGUAAUGUUGAUGCAUUUGAAGAAAUAAAAAUGUUAAAGUAGUGAACUUGUCAUUCGUAUUUCUAAUUAUUGACAUUUCAUUUAGAGAUUUUUUUUUGGUGUGGG